ensembl:lncRNA
CAUUAACUGUGGCAUUCCCCAGUCAGAUGAGUAACAACGCCUCUGGCUUCCAAGGCCAAAUAAAUCACAAAGAGAUGGGUAUGUGAUCUGUUUGUCUCAGAACAGUCCUGUUGUGAGCAGUUCUAACUUACAUCUUAUUUCCUUCUGUCUGUGGCUAUGAAUUGAAAUACUUUAGGAUAUCUGAUCUGUUUUCAUUAAAACCAUUCAUCUUACAGUCGUCUUCUACUAUGGCCUUGAAUUCACAGUUGACAGCUAUUCCCUAGCAAUGCUUUAUAUUUAUUAACAUCCUGCCCUUUUUCUCUGGCCAGACCUUUCUGGGUGACAGACAACAGCAACAUGAAGAAAAGGAAACAUCUGAAGUGAGUGUCCUGAAAUGGGGAAAUCAGAAGAUCACCCCAAAUGACACCAUGGACAGCCGAGGCUCUAAACUCAGGUGAAGUUGGGUUUUACUUGGGAGAUCUCCUUAGAAAAAUUGUAUUGUAAGAAACCUAUGUUAAUGAGGGUUGCUGUGGAAAACAAAUGGUCCCCAAAACUAUGUUUUUCUGUUUAACCAAAAAAAACCAAACCAAAACUGAACUUAUCUUUUUAAUCUUUCAGAAUUCAUAUUUUGUUACCCAAUGGCACAAGUACUUCUCUCCUUUAAAACCCUCCUCGUUGUGGUUUUGAGUUAGUUUCAACAAGAAACUUACUGAUUGAUCAAUCAAAGGUAUUUGUAAAGAAUAAUUUGUUUGAGUUUUGCCAGCUUGGUCCCUAACAUCUCACAUAGCACAACUCUUGUAGCAUGUAGAUAAUGGAAGUGAAUGAGUAAUUUCAAUUUCGAGGUCAACAGGGUGUUUUGUGCCUAGACCCUGUUGCUGUUUGAUGCUGCUGGACCCAUCAAGCCAGAAUGCAUAUUUAAAAAGACGGAAAUCGAAGACACCUAACCAUUACUUAAUGAUAUACACAUGCCAUUGAGGCAGCUGCUAGGCAUGCAUUCUCAUGGCUGUGCACUACUUCUUCAGUGAGUGCUUGUUUGCUUGACAGAACUUGAAAGCUACCAAAAUGCUACCCUCGCUUCCAUGAUACACUUCCACCGGUGAGCAAAAAAACAGAUAAAAUCAUAUCAUAGUGCUGCCCAACUCCUGCACCUACAGCCAGGCAUGGAAUGAUGAGAAGACCCUGUGGCUCUGCUCUGUAAGUUCCUGUUCACAUAGAUCAGAUUCAAAGGACUCAUGUAAGGAAAGACUGAGUAGCUCAGGAUGCGGUGCAGAGCAGAAUGGUUUGUGUGGUUCCAGCAGAGCAGGGUCAGCAGCCUUGCAAGCUUGCCAAACAGUGUUUCCCUUUCCCAAAUUAAAAGUUGAGUGUGCCAGGUUUCCUGGUUAAUUCUGAACUGUAAAUUGAGGGAGAGCCAGGUGCCCUGGUUUCAUCUGGGGUCAAGAGAGAGCUAAUCAGUGAAUAUCUCAGUGCCAUCAAAUUCCUACAAAGCAUCUAUCAGCCCAUCUUUGGUGAG